CGCCUCUUGUUUACUAUAAGAGGUCUAGCCUGCCCAGUGACUCAUUUCAACGGCCGCGGUAUCCUAACCGUGCGAAGGUAGCGUAAUCACUUGUUCUUUAAAUGAGGACUAGUAUGAAUGGCAUCACGAGGGUUAUACUGUCUCCCCUUUCUAAUCAGUGAAACUAAUCUUCCCGUGAAGAAGCGGGAAUAACUAUAUAAGACGAGAAGACCCUAUGGAGCUUUAAACUUAGCUACAAUUGUUCUUUCUAUUUUUUACUCCAGAGCAAUAAAUCUUAUUUUAACAUUUUGAUUGCUAGUUUUCGGUUGGGGUGACCGCGGAACAUAAAAUAACCUCCACGAUGAAAGAAAUUCCAUUUCUUAACCCAGAAUUACGACUCUAAGUAUCAAAAAUUUGACAUUCAUUGACCCAAUAUAUUGAUCAACGAACCAAGUUACCCUAGGGAUAACAGCGCAAUCCACUUCAAGAGCCCCUAUCGACAAGUGGGUUUACGACCUCGAUGUUGGAUCAGGGUAUCCUAGUGGUGCAGCCGCUACUAAAGGUUCGUUUGUUCAACGAUUAAAACCCU
rnacentral:rRNA from 1 species